rnacentral:rRNA from 1 species
UACGUAGGGUGCAAGCGUUGUCCGGAAUUAUUGGGCGUAAAGAGCUCGUAGGCGGUCUGUCGCGUCUGCUGUGAAAACUCAGGGCUUAACCCUGAGCUUGCAGUGGGUACGGGCAGACUAGAGUGCGGUAGGGGAGACUGGAAUUCCUGGUGUAGCGGUGAAAUGCGCAGAUAUCAGGAGGAACACCGGUGGCGAAGGCGGGUCUCUGGGCCGAUACUGACGCUGAGGAGCGAAAGCCAGGGGAGCGAACGGG